rnacentral:tRNA from 1 species
GCCGGCUUAGCUCAGUUGGUAGAGCAACCGCCUUGUAAGCGGUAGGUCCCCGGUUCGAGUCCGGGAGCCGGCA